rnacentral:rRNA from 1 species
UACGGGGGGGGCAAGCGUUGUUCGGAAUUACUGGGCGUAAAGGGCUCGUAGGCGGCCAACUAAGUCGGACGUGAAAUCCCUCGGCUUAACCGGGGAACUGCGUCCGAUACUGGAUGGCUUGAGUUCGGGAGAGGGAUGCGGAAUUCCAGGUGUAGCGGUGAAAUGCGUAGAUAUCUGGAGGAACACCGGUGGCGAAGGCGGCAUCCUGGACCGACACUGACGCUGGGGAGCGAAAGCCAGGGGAGCAAACGGG